ACGCUCACUUCAGCAGCUCAUAUAUUAAAAUUGGGACAAUACAGAGAAAAUUAGCAUGGUUCCUAAGCAAAGAUGACACACAAAUUUGUGAAGCAUUUCAUGUUUUU
rnacentral:snRNA from 1 species